rnacentral:misc_RNA from 1 species
AAGUCGUAACAAGGUUUCCGUAGGUGAACCUGCGGAAGGAUCAUUCAUAAUAAAAGUGUUUUAUGGCACUUUUAAAACAAUCCAUAUCCACCUUGUGUGCAAUGUUUUUUCAUUAUCAACUCUUUUAAUUAUUUUGUCUGAAAUAUAUUAUGAAUAACUUAAUUCAAAAAAUAUAACUUUCAACAACGGAUCUCUUGGCUCUC